AUGCCUGUUUAUCUCCAUUUUGAUGGCAGCUCUUGGCUUUCAGGCCCUAUUUGUGCUUUGUCCCUGAUCCUAAUUGACCUAUUGGGUUAUGAGGGGACUUUCAGCCCCAGGCAAAUGGGUUUUCAUGCACAAUGGAAAACAUGGGUCCUCUGGGCCCUGGGCUGGGCCAGCACUUUGACCUUGGCCUCUCAAGGGAAAGUGUGGCCGUGAACUCCACCCACACCCACCAACAAAGGAGUCCAGGGCAAAUGCUAGGGCUAAGGAUGCAAAGCUGAUGGCCUGUUCUCUUUUCUUUCUGGACCACUGGGCUGUUUCCUGGAGAGGACAGAGGAGGAGGGAAGGCAUCAUUGCUCUGUCCUUGCCUAAGCAAUCUGCAGUUCCCCACCUGGGCUGCUGCAGGAGGCUGUAGGCUGGGCCACCAAGGACACAAGGGAGCAUGUUCCAGGUACUCGGUACAGCUGGGGCAGCAGGGUGGCUCAGGCCUCCUGAGAGCUGGGGUCAUUCUUAGUCCUCAUGCGAUCCGUGAAGAGCCCCAGCCAGCAGCAGGAUUGCUGGGGACACAGGAGGUGGAAGCUGAGCACAGACAGGACUCUUACAAGCCUGAUGGAUGGAAGUGGAGGGCUGAGUGGGGCUUUCCUGGCAUUCCACCGCCCCUUCGGAACUGUGGGUGCUGUUCUUGAGUUUCCAGGAAGAAUGGCACCCCUGGGAAUGGUUACUGCUGGCACAGACCUCAGCUGUGGCUUACCCGGAAGCUGCUCUGGGAAAGUGAACUCCCAGUCACCUUAGCCAUCAGUGCUUGGGGGUGUGCCAGAAUUGUUGCCCGCUGCUAGGACAGGCAGACACGGGAAAGGUUGGUCAGAGCCUGCAGGGACCUCCCCAGCAGUCCCGCCAGCUCUGAGGGAGCCUCAUCCCAAGCAGGCCUGUCACAGGGUACCUUCCCUGUCAUGGGGACUUGAAGCCCAAGAGUAGGUGCGUGGCCAGUGAGGUCCAGUCCCCUGCUCCCUCUGCAGCAUUUUGUGUCCUUUGCCUCUAUGAUGGUUACCAUGGCUUCUCCAAUAUCCACCCACAAUUACCACAGGCCUGGCUUGUGACUAACACUAACAAAGCAAUGGUGAAAACCACAGUUCACAAGCAGGGGAUUGGAAAGAGGCCAGAGAAGAGAGGCUGCUAAUCAGGUGAAGGGGGAAGUUUAGGUGUUGGGAGGGCACCUGGAAGAGGGAGUCCAGCACAGGAUGUGGGGCGGAUGGGUGUCCUGAGGUGCUGGGAGCUGGGGCAUGAGGAAGGUCACUCCAGCAGGAGAGAGGAGAUGCGGGAAGAGAAGGCCAUACCUGCUGGCCAGAGCUCACAAGUGUGGGAACAUCAUCUAGUUCAUGGAUGAAUCCCCAUGAGUAGCCCAAGAAUCCUGGUGCCACAAGGCCUCCCUUGAGAGCUGGCUCUUGAGCAAAUAUGUCCCAAGGCCUGGAACUGAGUGCAUACUGAUUUCAGCUCGGUUAGAGAGGAGCAUCUGUGUGCAUCUGCAGAGUGUGACAUGGGGACAGAGUGGCAACCAGAGGAGAGGCUGCAGCAGGUGCACAGCAUCAGAUCCAGAGGCACCUGAUGCAAGUUCGUCCACCACAUUCUUCUGCCAUGAUGAUUUUGCCUUGGAGCCAGCCAUCCACGGACUGAAACCGUAAGCCUCUCCUCCUUCAAGAUGCAGGGAAAGUGACAAACACAAGGAGAACUGAAGACUUACCCAAAGUGAAGUGUCCUACCCCAGCCCUUCUCUUACACUUCCCUUUAGUGAACAACAGGUUACAGGGCCUGAGCUGCUCAAGUGUCAACGUUCCCUAGUUUGACUCCUUUCCCAGGAGGGAGAGAGAGACAGAGAGACAGAGAGACUGAGAGAUUGGAUUAUAAUAUAAACACAGAGAACGGUAAUCCCCUGGGCCAUGUCCCAGUAGGCAGAGCUCCUAGGCCAUUGCCUCAUCAUAGGGACAGAGGCCUCCAACAGUGCCCCAUUGUGGCUUUUGUUUGACCAGGCUCUUCAAGCACAGCACAACUCACAUGAAUUCAAACCCUGGGCAGGAUCGCGUCACCACAUGCCCACCAGAUGUCGCUAAUACCUCACAUUUUGGUCACCACAGGGGCAAAGGACUCCUUUCACUCAACAAAUGUUAAUUAAGCAACAUUGUGAGUAUUGUGUGUCGUGCAGAGCACUUUGUAGAUAAAAAUUCCUUGCUUACAGGAUCACAUUGAGGAUAAAAGUCAUCAUGUAAAAUAAAAGAUCUUUCAAGACUUAUUUUCUGUAGAAGUGAAAAUGUGUCACUAGCUAUGGAGUAUAAAAUUGGAAUUAAAAAUCUGGGACCUCCUUGAGCAUUGCUGUGAGGGCCUUCUGCUGCCUGUCUUGUAGUCGGACUAAAACCUCCAGAGUCUGUAAUCAUAUUUCUGCAUCUCAGUCAUUGAAGGAAUCUGUGAGGUCACAACUGCAAACACGGGUCAGAGAGGAAGAAUGUCCAAGCCUCUGCUGAUGGUCUCUGCAAGGCCUUGCUGUCCCCAAAGGCUGUGUAUGUUGGACAGAACUUUCCAGAGGACUUGCGCUUUGAAGCCACUGCACAUGGCUACACUGGGAAUGACACCUGGAGGUUUAAAGCCUCACUGCUUGUCAACCAAGAGCACAUACUUCUCCUUCAUGGCCUUCAAAGGAACUGUGACCCUGAUGAAGUCUGAGAAUGGGCGGGGUUGAAGGUUCACUGUAUCUUGCACACAAGUCAGACUGGUACAAAGAUGUUAUUAUUGAUUGCAAAUCUAUGCUGAAUGGACAUCUCAAACCAGUCUCUAACCUGUGCUUUUUGUGUUCUUCAAACGUGCUGUCUUCAAGGUUUUUCUCUGUACAAUUACAUAGUUGCAUUUCCUUAUUCUAGAUGCUCAAACCAAAAUCUUUGUGGUUGACGUUAACUUCCCUCUUUCUUUAUCUCCUUUUAAUUUUCGUGACAGGGUUUCCCUAAGUUGCUAAAUUGCUCAGGCUGGGUUUGAACUAGAGAUUCUGCCACUUCAGAUUCCCAGAGUGCUGGGAUUACAGCUGUGCACACUUGGCCCCUUACUCCUUAGCCAAUCCAUCAGCAAAGGAUGCUAGAAAACCUUCCAAGUAUGCACACAGUUAUUCUUCAUCACACCCACUACAGCACCAUCUGGCUGAAGUCACCAUUGUGAAUAGCUUCCUGUUUCUGCCCCCACCCUCACCCCUCCUGUCAUGGGGUUCAUGUCAUCCUCUUGAACUUUCCAAUGGCUUCUAGGUUUUCUCCCAGUAUGUGUCUUGAAAUUUCCCUUUUAGGACAGUAUCUAUUAUAUUGGACUAGGACCUCACCAGAUAAUCUCAGCUUAAUUUUAUUACAUAUUUAAAGAUAAUCUAAAAAAAUAAAGUCAUAGUCCUAUGUACUGAGUUCCGCGAGCACAUUUCAAUCUAUAAUAAAGACCUUCCCUGAUCACCCUACUGAAAA